rnacentral:rRNA from 1 species
GCCUGAUGCAGCGACGCCGCGUGAGGGAUGACGGCCUUCGGGUUGUAAACCUCUUUCAGUAGGGAAGAAGCGAAAGUGACGGUACCUGCAGAAGAAGCACCGGCUAACUACGUGCCAGCAGCCGCGGUAAUACGUAGGGUGCGAGCGUUAUCCGGAAUUAUUGGGCGUAAAGAGCUCGUAGGCGGUUUGUCGCGUCUGUCGUGAAAGUCCGGGGCUUAACCCCGGAUCUGCGGUGGGUACGGGCAGACUAGAGUGCAGUAGGGGAGACUGGAAUUCCUGGUGUAGCGGUGGAAUGCGCAGAUAUCAGGAGGAACACCGAUGGCGAAGGCAGGUCUCUGGGCUGUAACUGACGCUGAGGAGCGAAAGCAUGGGGAGCGAACAGGAUUAGAUACCCUGGUAGUCCAUGCCGUAAACGUUGGGCACUAGGUGUGGGGACCAUUCCACGGUUUCCGCGCCGCAGCUAACGCAUUAAGUGCCC